CUUUACAAUAUUGAAGGUGUGUAGUGAAGAUGAUCAGCCUACUGGUAGUCGAGGAGAGAGUCAGCUGAUAAUAGCCUGGCAUUAAGUAUCAACAUGCCACCCUGUUGAAAUUGCUGAUAUGAUGCUACAGACAUUUAUGAUGACAAUUGGCGGAAUUUCCGAGUUAGACAAGAAUGGCUGGAUGUCAGAUGGAUUCCGGAUGAAAAGUAACUUUACGACUGUCGUGAUUGAUAAGAGGUAG